rnacentral:tRNA from 1 species
AGUAAGGUAAGCUAAAUAAAGCUCCUGGGCUCAUACCUCAGUAAUAGUUAUACCUCCUUCCUA